GGGGGACAAUGGGAGAGUGGGGGCAGAAACAGAUAGAGGGGGAAAAGAAGAGAGAGGGUGGAGGGUGGGGAGAGGGCCAGAAAGUGAUAGAGGGGGAAAAUGAGAGGGAGAGAGUGGAGGGUGGGGAGAGGGCCAGAAAGUGAUAGAGGGGGAAAAGGGCCUGUGGGUAAAUAGAAACGUUAGUGAGUCUUUGUGUGGAUCUGGAGCUGCUCCUGAGGGGUCGACUCUCAGCGCGCCCCGGUGACGUGACGUCCUGAUGAUGUCCUGAUGGCGUCCUGAU
ensembl:lncRNA